UACGGAGGGGGCAAGCGUUGUUCGGAAUUACUGGGCGUAAAGGGCGCGCAGGCGGCUGCUCAAGUCAGGCGUGAAAGGCCUGGGCUCAACCCGGGAAUUGCGCUUGAGACUGGGCUGGCUUGAGUGCGGGAGAGGAUGGUGGAAUUCCCAGUGUAGAGGUGAAAUUCGUAGAUAUUGGGAAGAACACCGGUGGCGAAGGCGGCCAUCUGGACCGCAACUGACGCUGAGGCACGAAAGCGUGGGUAGCAAACAGG
rnacentral:rRNA from 1 species